rnacentral:rRNA from 1 species
UACAGAGGGGGCAAGCGUUGUUCGGAAUUACUGGGCGUAAAGGGCGCGUAGGCGGCCCGCUAAGUCGAACGUGAAAUCCCCGAGCUCAACUCGGGAACUGCGUCCGAUACUGGCGGGCUUGAAUCCGGGAGAGGGAUGUGAGUACUCGUGAGUAGCGGUGAAAUGCGUAGAUAUCUGGAGGAACACCGGUGGCGAAGGCGGCAUCCUGGACCGGAUUGACGCUGAGGCGCGAAAGCGUGGGGAGCAAACAGGG